rnacentral:rRNA from 1 species
UACGUAGGGGGCAAGCGUUGUCCGGAUUUAUUGGGCGUAAAGAGCGUGUAGGCGGCUUGGUAGGUCUCGCGUCAAAACCUGAGGCUCAACCUCAGUUCGCGUGGGAAACCACCUAGCUAGAGUCCGGAAGAGGAGAACGGAAUUCCCAGUGUAGCGGUGAAAUGCGCAGAUAUCAGGAAGAACACCCGUGGCGAAGGCGGCUCACUGGUCCGGUACUGACGCUGAGGUGCGAAAGCGUGGGGAGCAAACAGG